rnacentral:misc_RNA from 1 species
AAAAUAAAAUAAAAUAAAAUAAAUUGAGAGUAACUCUUAAAAUCAGUGUGCAUUCAUAUAAACCUAAAUUUGUGUAGUGGAUAGCCUUGCUGUAUUAAUCAUAUUUCUCAAAGAGUGUUGAAUUAGAGUAUCUGCUUCACAUUGUCCCCUAUCUGGUCUUACAUCCAUGUUUCAUAGGCAUGUAGCAGUACUCUAUCUCAUAUGCAACAUAUGGAUGUCUAACCAGUUCCAUCUGUGAAAAGCAUGACAGUGAAGCUACAAAAUUUAUAAUCAUUAUGAUAACAUUUUACUAGCAAUUGACUAGAGAAAGAAAUUGAAUGGGGACAUGAACAUAUGAUAAUUUUUUAAGCAAUCAAUAUUAUCCACGUCAGACUAUUGCCACUCAUAGAGAAAAUACACAAAAGUGUAAUAACUGUAAUAUUGUAAAGCAGGUUAUCACUUAGAUAUAAUUAUUUAUGGUAGUUAGAACAUUUUAUUAUCCAUAUUAUCUAAAGAUUUGGUGUUUUAAUUUUUCUCUUCAUUUCUUUUCUUUUCUACAGCUAUAUCAGUUUCAAGUUAAACACCCACACUAUAUAUAGCCCUGUUUGGCAUUGAGUU